rnacentral:rRNA from 1 species
AGACCCGAAACCCGGUGAUCUAGCCAUGGGCAGGUUGAAGGUUGGGUAACACUAACUGGAGGACCGAACCGACUAAUGUUGAAAAAUUAGCGGAUGACCUGUGGCUGGGGGUGAAAGGCCAAUCAAACCGGGAGAUAGCUGGUUCUCCCCGAAAGCUAUUUAGGUAGCGCCUCGUGAAUUCAUCUCCGGGGGUAGAGCACUGUUUCGGCCAGGGGGCCAUCCCGGCUUACCAACCCGAUGCAAACUGCGAAUACCGGAGAAUGUUAUCACGGGAGACACACGGCGGGUGCUAACGUCCGUCGUGAAGAGGGAAACAACCCAGACCGCCAGCUAAGGUCCCAAAGUCAUGGUUAAGUGGGAAACGAUGUGGGAAGGCCCAGACAGCCAGGAUGUUGGCUUAGAAGCAGCCAUCAUUUAAAGAAAGCGUAAUAGCUCACUGGUCGAGUCGGCCUGCGCGGAAGAUGUAACGGGGCUAAACCAUGCACCGAAGCUGCGGCAGCGAACGUAUCACU